rnacentral:rRNA from 1 species
GACGAACGCUGGCGGCGUGCUUAACACAUGCAAGUCGAACGAGAACGGGUUAUAGCUUGCUUUAAUUGUCAGCUAAGUGGCGCACGGGUGAGUAAUGUAUAGGUAAUAUGCCUCUUACUAAGGGAUAACAAAUGGAAACGUUUGCUAAUACCUUAUACUCCUUAUUAACAGAAGUUAAUAAGGGCAAGAUUUAUUGGUAAGAGAUUAGCCUGUAUUGUAUCAGUUAGUUGGUGGGAUAAUGGCUUACCAAGACUAUGACACAUAACUGGUUUGAGAGGAUGAUCAGUCACACUGGAACUGAGACACGGUCCAGACUCCUACGGGAGGCAGCAGUGGGGAAUAUGCACAAUGGACGAAAGUCUGAUGCAGCAACGCCGCGUGGAGGAUGACACAUUUCGGUGCGUAAACUCCUUUUAUAUGAGAAGAUAAUGACGGUAUUAUAUGAAUAAGCACCGGCUAACUCCGUGCCAGCCGCCGCGGUAAGAC